rnacentral:lncRNA from 1 species
GAUAUGUAUUUCGAAAUAUAUGCAUUACAAUCCUUGCGGAGGGCUAACUUUUGCCCUACUCGUUCGUGCAGAUUCAGAUUAAGAAGAAGGAUCACAAGGGAUGGCAAUAAUCAAGAAAUGAAUAGAAGAUGGUCUAUGACUUAUGUUGUAGAGAAGAAUGACUGAAAUGACUGUUUGGAAUUAUUCUGGAAUUAGGCUAGAAUGAGGUCUUCUCUGCCAAUCUAAGGUAAUAUUGCUGAAAGGCAAGAAAUUCGAAGUGAUAUAUGUCCAGCUGACUGUGUGUUGACAGUGUGAGGCCUGGCAAAAGUUCCAUAUGCCUGAAGCCAAAAGAGCCAGGAAACUGGAUAAACCUGGGAUGUCAUCACUCUGUGAGACAUGGGAAACACAAACCCCUUUCUAAAAGGUAUUUAGUCAAUGGGAGCAGAAGAAAUAUUAAAACCUUCUACAUGUCGUCAGGUGAUGUACAGAAUUUACUGACAAUUAAAGUCAAAAGUUCUGUCACAACAAGCUAGCAUCUUGAAGUUGCAGUGAAAACUGCCAAGGAGUUAUUUACCAAUCAACCUAUUAUAGAACGUGAAAUACAAUCACAUGCUAGUUUUCAGUUCAUUUGUAGAGAAAAACUUUCCAACAUCACAAAUCCCAUUAAAAAAAAACCGCACAGUCAGUUUUAAAUGAAAAAGUGGACAAUUAAUCAUAGCUGUUCCAAUCCUGCAAGGGGCUAAGUGCCCUCUUGGAGACAGUGACCGUAAUUCUGAUCCCCCUUAUCCUGGUGUAAAUCAGGCCUAUGGAGUUAGCUUGGUAUAAAAUGAGAGCAGAAUGAGGCCCAGUUAGUAAAGUAACAGGAUUUGGCGUAUAAUAUGCAUCAAAACUAGUGUGAUUUUUCUUUAAGUUGUGUCUGUACAGAAGCAGAAAAUACAUUGAAGUUUGAGGUAUACCUUGUUCUGUCUGACUCUGCUUCCUUGAGGUUAUAUAAAUUAUCUACUCCCUCUUCACUUUAUAUAUCAAUCUGGUCUCUAAAAGAUAUUAUUAUAUAAUAACUUUCACUAAUUGUUUCUCCCCUUUGAGUACUUAAAAACUUGGUUGUGUUGACAAUAGUAAAGGAUAAUGAAUGGUUGUUAAGUUGUCAGCAGUGCAAAAUAAAGUAUUCAGUCUCUGGUAAUAAUUUUGGUGA